GCUACCUUCAGGAUCAAACUAGGGACAAACGAGUGUGGAAUCGAAUCCUUCGUCAUUGCCUCCCGUGCCAAACUUGCGAACGUCAUGUACGGCCUUGAAGGGGACUAUUAGUACCUUGGGCCAUUAUUUGUUCCAGAGGCCACCUUCAGUUCAUUAUUUAUGCAGUAACAACCCAGUGGUCUGUGCGAUAACAAGGUCUGAAGGACUAGACUCUGCAACUCGUUGGAAGGAUUGAGGAAACAAGGUUUGCAAAUUUUACAAAUUUAUUUUAAAAAAUAAACUCUAAUAACA